AUUGAACGCUGGCGGCAUGCUUUACACAUGCAAGUCGAACGGCAGCGCGGGCUUCGGCCUGGCGGCGAGUGGCGAACGGGUGAGUAAUACAUCGGAACGUGCCCAGUAGUGGGGGAUAGCUCGGCGAAAGCCGGAUUAAUACCGCAUACGACCUGAGGGUGAAAGCGGGGGAUCUUCGGACCUCGCGCUAUUGGAGCGGCCGAUGGCAGAUUAGCUAGUUGGUGGGGUAAAGGCCUACCAAGGCGACGAUCUGUAGCUGGUCUGAGAGGACGACCAGCCACACUGGGACUGAGACACGGCCCAGACGCCUACGGGAGGCAGCAGUGGGGAAUUUUGGACAAUGGGCGAAAGCCUGAUCCAGCAAUGCCGCGUGUGUGAUGAAGGCCUUCGGGUUGUAAAGCACUUUUGGCGGGAACGAAAAGGACUGUGCCAAUACCACGGUUCGAUGACGGUACCCGCAGAAUAAGCACCGGCUAACUACGU
rnacentral:rRNA from 1 species